CACACAUUGGAAUGUGGCUAACUCCUCCUAAGGCUUUCGUCCCACUGACACCAAAUUUGCUCAGGCCAAUCUACACCCCAUGGCCAUUCAAAGUUGUAAAAAUCAUGACGCUGCACCCCACGGUUUACGUUCUAGGGGGCGCCAAAGAUGACCCAAAUAUCCACAUUCUUAAAAGAAUCCACAUCCCCCCCCCCCCCCCAUCCCCCAUCCCCCAUCCCCCAUGGCAGGAGAAACAGUCAAGUUUUUCCUGCCCAUCACUCAAUGGCUCAAUCGCAUCGCUCUCCCGGCAACACCGUAACGAGGAGCAACUUGCCGUUUGGAUAUAUCCUAGCUGUGUUUGUGCCCUCACUCAUGGUCCAGACUUUUUUCAAAUAGGACAUGUAGUUUGUCUGCAGCGAGUGUUUUGGUAGAAACUGCGCCUCCCAUUCAUUAUAAUGGGAAAUGACCACAGACAAGUGCGCACACCAUCUUUGGACCUUGAGUGUGACGCGAUCGGGAGGGGGAGGCGGUCGCACUGGGGGCGGCGCAACGCGGCUCGGGCCCGCCAGUGCCCCAACGGGGCCCUAGUUAUUAUUUUUCCUCCGCUUUAAACUGGAAAAUGGCCCACUUCCCACUGGCGAAAACUCAGGAAAUUUGGCAGGACGACCGGGCCUGGUGAAAAAUUCGAUAUUCUGAAGUCGCCCAAACAAUAAAAUGCAAAAUGGCUCCAUAGCGCCCCCUAAGGUGAAAAUUCACAUGACGGCUGUACGCUUUGUCAUAUUGACACAAAAAUUGACACACACAUGUAUCUCAAUAAGAUCUACAAAAAAGUCAGUGCGGGCGUAUCUGUCAAAUGUACGGUUAAUGGGUUAUUUUGCAUUUUUUGCAGAUCUGCACACAUUGGAAUUUCGCUAACUCCUCCGAAGGCUUUCGUUCGACCGGCACCACAUUUGCGCAGGCCAAUCUACCCCCCAUGGCCAUUAAAAGUUGUACAAAUCAUGACGCUGCACCCCACGGUUUACGUUCUAGGGGGCGCCAAAGAUAACCCAAAAUCCACAUUCUUAAAAGUCUUAUAACUUUUUAUUUUUGUCCUCACUGCCCUCCAAGUUUUCUAGGAUGAUGCAAUGUCCAGCCAUCAACACAUUUGUGAAGGAAUUUUUACUCCCCAAAAGAGCGCCCCCCCAUGGCAGGAGAAAAAAGUCAAUUUUUUCUUGUCCCCUUACAUGAAAAUACACAUUGUUGAGUGUCACGCCUGAACGCUUUGUCAUAUUGACACAAAAAUUGACAAUCAUGUGUAUCUCAAUUAGAUCUACGAAAAAGUCAAAAAGCGCGUAUCUGUAUAAUGUACGGUUAAAGGGCUAUUUCGCAUUUUUUGCCGAUUAGCACACAUUGGAAUGUGGCUAUCUCCUCCUAAGGCUUUCGUCCCACCGAUACCAAAUUUGCUCAGGGCAAUCUACACCCCAUGCCCAUUCAAAGUUGUAAAAAUCAUGACGCUGCACCCCACGGUUUACGUUCUAGGGGGCGCCAAAGAUGACCCAAAAAUCCACAUUCUUAAAAGUCAUUUUGGCCACUGCAGGAGUACAGAGUACUGCAGUUCUAGGGGGCGCCAAAGAUGACCCAAAAAUCCACAUUCUUAAAAGUCUUUUUGGCCACUGCAGGAGUACAGAGUACUGCAGGAUACACACACAUAUACACACACACACACACACACACACACUCAGAGUCUGUUUUUUAGCACCUGCAAAAACAUGCUGUUUACAUAUUUGACAAGAAUGCAGAGGCUUCCUUUUGCCCCUGAAAAAAAUCAGAUUUCAAACACAACUUGACUGUUCAUUUCUCCAAAAGACAACCAUGAAGCUCCAUCCAAACCUGAAGCAGAUAGUUGGUGCAUGUGUACAGUAACCUGAGGGGAGUGAGGUGACUAUUUCUGAGGAGAACAUGAGCAGUGAAGAUUCACCUUGGAGCUAGAACAGGGACGUGCACAUGAUUAUACAGGGGCAGGGGCUCAAGUUUUUUCCAGUCAUUUAUACAAUAUGGAAAUUAAUGUGAAAUUAAACCACAAAGUAUUAAUAGAAAGGUAAUGACUGUCCUGUGUAGGUGACAGUGAUAUCGAAUAGGCUAGGCACUCACGAGGCUGGCUGUGGCAAGUGUAAGUGAAAGCAACACGCACUGGCAGGAAGAACAGCAAACGCUGAUGAAGGAAAAGGGUCUUUGCAGUGAUGGGCGUUACCAGAGAGGGCGAUGGCCAGAGGACACAAAUGGGACGGGGAGGCAGCACGUUGGGGGGGGGGGGGGGGCGACACGGCUCGGGCCCGCCAGUGCCCCAACGGGGUCCUAGUUAUUAGGGCCCGAGCCAGCUGCAGAGCAGCCGGGCGUAGAGCCCUAUUAUUCCUGUAUAGGUUUUUCUUUCUUCUUUUUUUUCUUUCUUUCUUUCUUUCUUUCUUUCUUCUUAUUUUUCCUCCCCUUUGAAGGGGAAAAUGGCCCACUUCCCACUGGCGAAAACUCAUGAAAUUUGGCAGGACGACCGGGCCUGGUGAAAAAUUCGAUAUUCUGAAGUCGCCCAAACAAUAAAAUUCAAAAUGGCUCCAUAGCGCCCCCUAAGGCGAAAAUUCACACUAUUGACUGUCACGGCUGUACGCUUUGUCAUAUUGACACAAAAUUUGACACACACGUGUAUCUCAAUAUGGUCUACGAAAAAGUCAGCGCGGGCGCAUCUGUGAAAUGUACGGUUAGAGGGUUAUUUCGCAUUUUUUGCCGAUCUGCACACAUUGGAAUUUCGCUAACUCCUCCGAAGGCAUUCGUUCCACCGGCACCACAUUUGCUCAGGCCAAUCUACACCCCAUGGCCAUUAAAAGUUGUACAAAUCAUGACGCUGCACCCCACGGCUUACGUUCUAGGGGGCGCCAAAGAUAACCCAAAAAUCCACAGUCUUAAAAGUCUUAUAACUUUUUAUUUUUGUCCUCACUGGCCUCCAAGUUCUCUAGGAUGAUGCAAUGUCCAGCCAUCAACACAUUUGUGAAGGAAUUUUUACUCCCCAAAAGAGCGCCCCCACAUGGCAGGAGAAAAAAGUCCAUUUUUUCUUGUCCCCUAAGGUGAAAAUACACAUUGUUGAGUGUCACGCCUAUACGCUUUGUCAUAUUGACCCAAAAUUUGACAAUCACGUGAAUCUCAAUAAGAUCUACGAAAAAGUCAAUGGGCACGUAUCUGUCAAAUGUACGGUUAAAGGGUUAUUUUGCAUUUUUUCCCGAUCCGCACACAUUGGAAUUUCGCUAACUCCUCCGAAGGCUUUAGUUCCACCGCCACCAAAUUUGCUCAGGCCAAUCUACACCCCAUGGCCAUUAAAAGUUGUACAAAUCAUGACGCUGCACUCCACGGUUUACGUUCUAGGGGGCGCCAAAGAUAACCCAAAAAUCCACAUUCUUAAUAGUCUUAUAACUUUUUAUUUUUGUCCUCACUGGCCUCCAAGUUUUCUAGGAUGAUGCAAUGUCCAGCCAUCAACACAUUUGUAAAGGAAUUUUUACUCCCGAAAAGAGCGCCCCCCCAUGGCAGGAGAAAAAAGUCCAUUUUUUCUUGUCCCCUAAGAUGAAAAAACACAUUGUUGACUGUCACGCCUAUACGCUUUGUCAAAAUGACACAAAAUUUGACACACACGUGUAUCUCAAUAAGAUCUACGAAAAAGUCAAUGGGCACGUAUCUGUAAAAUGUACGGUUAAAGGGCUAUUUCGCAUUUUUUGCCGAUUCGCACACAUUGGAAUGUGGCUAACUCCUCCUAAGGCUUUCUUCCCACCGACACCAAAUUUGCUCAAGCCGAUCUACAUCCCAUGGCCAUUCAAAGUUGUAAAAAUCAUGCUGCUGCACACCAUGGUUUACGUUCUAGGGGGCGCCAAAGAUGACCCAAAAAUCCACAUUCUUAAAAGAAUCCACAUCCCCCCCCCCCCCCCCCAAGGCAGGAGAAAAAGUCCAGUUAACCCUGCCCAUCGCUCAAUGGCUCAAUCGCAUCGCUCUCCUGGCAACACCGUAAGGAGGAGCAACUUGCCACUUGGAUAUAUCCUAGCUGUGUUUGUGCCCUCACUCAUGGUCCAGACUUUUUUCAAAUAGGACAUGUAGUUUGUCUGCAGCGACCGUUUUGGUAGAAACUGCGCCUCCCAUUCAUUAUAAUGGGAAAUGACCACAGACAAGUGCGCACACCAUCUUUGGACCUUGAGUGUGACGUGAUUGGGAGGGGUAGGCGGUCGCGCUGGGGGCGGCGCGACGCGGCUCGGGCCCGACAGUGCCCCACCGGGGCCCUAGUUCUUCUUAUUUUUCCUCCCCUUUGAAGGGGAAAAUGGCCCACUUCCCACUGGCGAAAACUCAUGAAAUUUGGCAGGACGACCGGGCCUGGUGAAAAAUUCGAUAAUCUGAAGUCGCCCAAACAAUAAAAUGCAAAAUGGCUCCAUAGCGCCCCCUAAGGUGAAAAUUCACACUAUUGACCGUCACGCCUGUACGCUUUGUCAUAUUGACACAAAAAUUGACACACACAUGUAUCUCAAUAAGAUCUACAAAGAAGUCAGUGCGGGCGUAUCUGUCAAAUGUACGGUUAAAGGGUUAUUUCGCAUUUUUGGCGAUCUGCACACAUUGGAAUUUCGCUAACUCCUCCGAAGGCUUUCGUUCCACCGGCACCAAAUUUGCUCAGGCCAAUCUACACCCCAUGGCCAUUAAAAGUUGUACAAAUCAUGACGCUGCACCCCACGGUUUACGUUCUAGGGGGCGCCAAAGAUAACCCAAAAAUCCACAGUCUUAAAAGUCUUAUAACUUUUUAUUUUUGUCCUCACUGGCCUCCAAGUUCUCUAGGAUGAUGCAAUGUCCAGCCAUCAACACAUUUGUGAAAGAAUUUUUUCUCCCCCCCCCCCCCCCCCCCCAUGGCAGGAGAAAAAGUCAAGUUUUUCCUGCCCAUCGCUCAAUGGCUCAAACGCAUCGCUCUCUCGGCGAAACCGAAAGGAGGAGCAACUUGCCAUUUGGAUAUAUCGAAGCUGUGUUUGUGCCCUCACUCAUGGUCCAGACUUUUUUCAAAAAGGACAUGGAGUUUGUCUGCAGCGAGCAUUUUGGUAGAAACCGCGCCUCCCAUUCAUUAUAAUGGUAAAUGACCACAGACAAGUGCGCACACCAUCUUUGGACCUUGAGUGUGACGCGAUCGGGAGGGGUAGGCGGUCGCGCUGGGGGCGGCGCGACACGGCUUGGGCCCGCCAGUGCCCCACCGGGGCCCUAGUUAUUAUUUUUCCUCCGCUUUAAACUGGAAAAUGGCCCACUUCCCACUGGCGAAAACUCAUGAAAUUUGGCAGGACGACCGGGCCUGGUGAAAAAUUCGAUAUUCUUAAGUCGCCCAAACAAUAAAAUGCAAAAUGGCUCCAUAGCGCCCCCUAAGGUGAAAAUUCACACUAUUGACUGUCAUGCCUGUACGCUUUGUCAAAAUGACACAAAAAUUGACACACACAUGUAUCUCAAUAAGAUCUACAAAAAAGUCAGUGCGGGCGUAUCUGUCAAAUGUACGGUUAAAGGGUUAUUGCGCAUUUUUUGCAGAUCCCCACACAUUGGAAUUUCGCUAACUCCUCUGAAGACUUUCGUUCCACCAGCACCACAUUUGCUCAGGCCAAUCUACACCCCAUGGCCAUUAAAAGUUAUUCAAAUCAUGACGCUGCACCCCACGGUUUAGGUUCUAGGGGGCGCCAAAGAUAACCCUAAAAUCCACAUAUUUAAAAGUCUUAUAACUUUUUAUUUUUGCCCUCACUGGCCUCCAAUUUUUCAAGGAUGAUGCAAUGUCCAGCCAUCAACACAUUUGUGAAGGAAUUUUUACUCCCCAAAAGAGCGCCCCCCCAUGGCAGGAGAAAAAAGUCCAUUUUUUCUUGUCCCCUAAGGUGAAAAUACACAUUGUUGAGUGUCACGCCUGAACGCUUUGUCAUAUUGACACAAAAUUUGACACACACGUGUAUCUCAAUAAGAUCUACGAAAAAGUCAAAGAGCGCGUAUCUGUAUAAUGUACGGUUAAAGAGCUAUUUCGCAUUUUUUGCCGAUCCGCACACAUUGGAAUUUCGCUAACUCCUCCGAAGGCUUUCGUUCCACCGGCACCAAAUUUGCUCAGGCCAAUCUACACCCCAUGGCCAUUAAAAGUUGUAAAAAUCAUGACGCUGCACCUCACGGUUUACGUUCUAGGGGGCGCCAAAGAUGACCCAAAUAUACAUUACAGCAGACAAAGUAGUUUUGCCCACUGAGUGGCGCCAAAGGGACUUGUCUAUGGAGUCUGGGGGUCACUAUUGGCCGUUUUUGACUACUUUAGAUUUUACCUUUAUAUUUCCUCUUAAAAUUUUUUUACCUUGCCUUGCCUGGUAUCAUUCUUUUCAGCACAACCUCACCUGUGUUAAUUUACAGUUAUUUUAUCAUUUUGACAUACUGUAUUUACACAAUGGACCCAAAUUCACACACAAAACAUAAAAUCCGAGUGGAAAAAAGUAAAAUUUUUACUGUGAAAACCACAAAUAUGUGUGAUGAACUGUUUUUAAAACUUAAACUUCAAAUAAAAAUUGUAAACUUCAAAACAUAUGCAAAUUUUUAACAAAGAACAUAGUAAUUUACCUCUAUUUACAUCAAAAUGCAGGCAAUGGCCCAGGCGUUCUUUGUAAAAUUAUUUACAAAACACUGUAUAGUCUCACAAAUGUCACUUUUUAUUUAUGCCACUACAAAAAAACAUGAUGUAAAUGAUGCAUGAUGUAAAACAUGAUGUAAAAAACUUGUGUAGAUCCUCCUCUAUGUUAGUCCAUGUGUAUUUUUUCCAUAAUUCUUUGUUUUGUCCAGCAUUUUUGUUAGUGUAACUGCAGAUUGUGCUGACAGUGUCAUGGCAAAAAAAAAAAAAAAAAAAAACUGAAAAUGCCUCAACAUGAACCCCUGGUGGUCUCUGAGGGUGAAACCUGCUAACUGCUGCAGCUCUGUCAGCUUCAGUCUCCCAUGCAGAGCUCGGAGCGCAUGUGUGGCUCUGCACCCUUAGCAGCGUUGCCAACUCCUCAGUAAGGAAAGCCUGCUUCAUGUCAGAGUCUCUGAACUCCAGAAGAAGUUGAUAAAAUUCCCUUUCUUUCUAAAAAAAAAAAGUCGUAAGGGGGGUCUGAAAAGUCAUUGAAUCCAACAACAAAGUCGCUAGGUUUGCAACUACGUGUCCCAGACUGCAUCCCUGCUGAGAGUCCCUCCCUCCCUUCUCAUGUUGCAGGAAGAAGGUAAGCGCCCGCCCCUUGUCAAUCAGUCACCAUAUAAUUUUGGAUUGGUUGUUGUGGUGAAGUUUUCCACCAAUAGGAGAGAUGUUGUGGUGUGUUUUUUUUUUCUUUUGGCAACCCUUUUUCGCCUGUAAGACCUGUCGCUAAUGUCUGCAUGCUAUGUUUUCCUGUCUCAUACAGCGCGAUCGAGCGCCGAACGUGAUCAAAUAAGCAGAAAAAAAGUAUCGCAGACAUAAUUUAUCAUAACUCUGGUUUUAUUUGGCCUAUCAACACAAUUUAAAAACUGGUAUAUAGUUUAAGGUCCUCACUUUGGAGAUAAGUUGAAACGGAGAGUCAACGAGGCUCUGUCUUGCAGCUACAUCCGGUUAAAUAUGUCAUGUGACUUGAACACUGGGGAGCGUCAAUCGACUGCAGAGCCAGCAGACAAAGUAGUUAUGGCCACUGAGAGGCACACAUUUGUCAUAUGCUAUAAUCCUAACAUAUUUUAAUGCUUUUUCUAUUUAAACCUAAUGGAUCUAAGGUUUGACCUUCAAAAUUUAGGAAGAAUAUGUUUUUGCAGUAAUGACCCCCUUAAACAACCAGAGGUCCUUUCCUAAAGUUUAUGGAAAUUUUAGUGAAGGCCUUGGUUUCUGUCCUUGCAAAAUGCAUAGAAAUAAUAAAGCUAAAUACCAUAAAAUGGUCUUGGCGUAUUAGCAGUGAUAUAAAAUAGUGGUUUGAAUAUGAAUGAACAACAAAAAAAAACAUCAACAGAGCCUUUUUGAGUUAGGAUUCUUUCAUUAUUACACAAAAACAGACAUAGACAGACAUCUGAAGGAAAAGGGAAUGAUCAGCCCUCCUGACUCUCAGAUGAAUCUUCAAAAUUCACCUCAGAAAUAUGCUUAUUCUUCUCAGAGUACUGCAGGAUACACACACACACACACACACACACACACACACACACACACACACACACACACACACACACACACACACACACACACACACACUCAGAGUCUGUUUUUUAGCACCUGCAAAAACAUGCUGUUUACAUAUUUGACAAGAAUGCAGAGGCUCCUUUUGCCCCUGAAAAAAAUCUAAUUUCAAACACAACUUGACUGCUCAUUUCUCCAAAAGACAACCAUGAAGCGCUAUCUAAACCUGAAGCAUGCAGUUGCUGCGUGUGUACAGUAACCUGAGGGGAGUGAGGUGACUGCUUCUGAGGAGAACAUGAGCAGUGAAGAUUCACCUUAGAGCCAGAACAGGGACGUGCACAUGAUUAUACAGGGGCAGGGGCUCAAGUCUUUUCCAGUCCUUUAUACAAUAUGGAAAUUAAUGUGAAAUUAAAAAACAAAGUAUUAAUAGAAAGGUAAGGACUGUCCUGUGUAGAUGACAGUGAUAUCCAAUAGGCUAGGCACUCACGAGGUUGGCUGUGGCAAGUGUAAGUGAAAGCAACACGCACUGGCAGGAAGAACAGCAAACGCCGAUGAAGGAAAAGGGUCUUUGCAGUGAUGGGCGUUACCAGAGAGGGCGAUGGCCAGAGGACGCGAAUGGGACGGGGAGGCAGCGUGUUGGGGGGGGGGAGGGGGCGCGACACGGCUCGGGCCCGCCAGUGCCCCAACGGGGCCCUAGUUAGGGCCCGAGCCAGCUGCAGAGCAGCCGGGCGUAGGCCCUAUUAUUCCCCAAGUGGUUUUUCUUUGUUUCUUUCUUUCUUUAGGGCCCGAGCGUAGCUGCUAAGCAGCUGCGAGAGCCCUCUUGUUCCUGUAGUUUCCUUCUUUUGUUAUUAUUAUUAUUUUUCCUCCCCUUUAAACUGGAAAAUGGCCCACUUCCCACUGGCGAAAACUCAUGAAAUUUGGCAGGACGACCGGGCCUGGUGAAAAAUUUGAUAUUCCGAAGUCGCCCAAACAAGAAAAUGCAAAAUGGCUCCAUAGCGCCCCCUAAGGUGAAAAUUCACACUAUUGACUGUCACGCCUGUACGCUUUGUCAAAAUGACACAAAAAUUGACACACACAUGUAUCUCAAUAAGAUCUACAAAAAAGUCAGUGCGGGCGUAUCUGUCAAAUGUACGGUUAAAGGGUUAUUUCGCAUUUUUUGCCGAUCCGCACACAUUGGAAUUUCGCUAACUCCUCCGAAGGCUUUCGUUCCACCGGCACCACAUUUGCUCAGGCCAAUCUACACCCCAUGGCCAUUAAAAGUUAUUCAAAUCAUGACGCUGCACCCCACGGUUUAGGUUCUAGGGGGCGCCAAAGAUAACCCUAAGAUCCACAUAUUUAAAAGUCUUAUAACUUUUUAUUUUUGCCCUCACUGGCCUCCAAGUUUUCUAGGAUGAUGCAAUGUCCAGCCAUCAACACAUUUGUGAAGGAAUUUUUACUCCCCAAAAGAGCGCCCCCCCAUGGCAGGAGAAAAAAGUCCAUUUUUUCUUGUCCCCUAAGGUGAAAAUACACAUUGUUGAGUGUAACACCUGUACGCUUUGGCAAAAUGACACAAAAAUUGACACACACAUGUAUCUCAAUAAAAUCUACGAAAAAGUCAAUGCGCGCGUAUCUGUCAAAUGUACGGUUAAAGGGUUAUUCCGCAUUUUUUGCCGAUCCGCACACAUUGGAAUUUCGCUAACUCCUCCGAAGGCUUUCGUUCCACCGGCACCACAUUUGCUCAGGCCAAUCUACACCCCAUGGCCAUUAAAAGUUAUUCAAAUCAUGAUGCUGCACCCCACGGUUUAGGUUCUAGGGGGCGCCAAAGAUAACCCUAAAAUCCACAUAUUUAAAAGUCUUAUAACUUUUUAUUUUUGUCCUCACUGGCCUCCAAGUUUUCUAGGAUGAUGCAAUGUACAGCCAUCAACACAUUUGUGAAGGAAUUUUUACUCCCCAAAAGAGCGCCCCCCCAUGGCAGGAGAAAAAAGUCCAUUUUUUCUUGUCCCCUAAGGUGGAAAUUCACAUUGUUGAGUGUCACGCCUGUACGCUUUGUCAUAUUGACACAAAAUUUGACAAUCACGUGCCUUGCCUGGUAUCAUUUUUUUUCAGCACAACCUCACCUGUGCGAAUUUACAGUUAUUUUAUCAUGUUGACAUACUGAAUUUACACAAUGGACCCAAAUUCACACACAAAACAUAAAAUCUGAGUGGAAAAAAGUAACAUUUUUACUGUGAAAACCACAAAUAUGUGUGAUGAACUGUUUUUAAAACUUAAACUUCAAAUAAAAAUUGUAAACUUCAAAACAUAUGCAAAUUUUUAACAAAGAACAUAGUGAUUUACCUCUAUUUACAUCAAAAUGCAGGCAAUGGCCCAGGCGUUCUUUGUAAAAUUAUUUACAAAACACUGUAUAGUCUCACAAAUGUCACUUUUUAUUUAUGCCACUACAAAAAAACAUGAUGUAAAUGAUGCAUGAUGUAAAACAUGAUGUAAAAAACUUGUGUAGAUCCUCCUCUAUGUCAGUCCAUGUGUAAUUUUUCCAUAAUUCUUUGUUUUUUGCAGCAUUUUUGUUAGUGUAACUGCAGAUUGUGCUGACAGUGUCUAUGGCACAAAAAAAAAAAAAUUUUUUAAAAUGCCUCAACAUGAACCCCUGGUGGUCUCUGAGGGUGAAACCUGCUAACUGCUGCAGCUCUGUCAGCUUCAGUCUCCCAUGCAGAGCUCGGAGCGCAUGUGUGGCUCUGCACCCUUAGCAGCGUUGCUAACUCCUCAGUAAGGAAAGCCUGCUUCAUGUCAGAGUCUCUAAACUCCAGAAGAAGUCGAUAAAAGUCCCUUUCUUUCUAAAAAAAAGUCGUUAGGGGGUCUGAAAAGUCAUUGAAUCUAACAACAAAGUCGCUAGGUUUGCAACUACGUGUCCCAGACUGCAUCCCUGCUGAGAGUCCCUCCCUCCCUUCUCAUGUUGCAGGAAGAACGUAAGCGCCCGCCCCUUGUCAAUCAGUCACCAUAUAAUUUUGGAUUGGUUGUUGUGGUGAAGUUUUCCACCAAUAGGAGAGAUGUUGUGGUGUGUUUUUUUUUCUUUUGGCAAGCCUUUUCCGCCUGUAAGACCUGUCGCUAAUGUCUGCAUGCUAUGUUUUCCUGUCUCAUACAGCGCGAUCGAGCGCCGAACGUGAUCAAAAUAAGCAGAAAAAAAGUAUCGCGGACAUAAUUUAUCAUAACUCUGGUUUUAUUUGGCCUAUCAACACAAUUUAAAAACUGGUAUAUAGGUUGAGGUCCUCACUUUUGAGAUAAGUUGAAACGGAGAGUCAACGAGGCUCCGUCUUGCAGCUACAUCCGGUUAAAUAUGUCAUGUGACUUGAACGCACACACAGACACACACACACGCACACACACACACACACACACACACACUCAGAGUCUGGUUUUUAGCACCUGCAAAAACAUGCUAUUUACAUAUUUGACAAGAAUGCAGAGGCUCCUUUUGCCCCUGAAAAAAAUCAAAUUUCAAACACAACUUGACUGGUCAUUUCUCCAAAAGACAACCAUGAAGCUCCAUCCAAACCUGAAGCAGGCAGUUGGUGCAUGUGUACAGUAACCUGAGGGGAGUGAGGUGACUGCUUCUGAGGAGAACAUGAGCAGUGAAGAUUCACCUUAGAGCUAGAACAGAGACGUGCACAUGAUUUUUCCAGUUUUUUUCAAGUUUUUUCCAGUUGUUUAUACAAUAUGGAAAUUAAUGUGAAAUUAAAAAACAAAGUAUUAAUAGAAAGGUAAUGACUGUCCUGUGUAGGUGACAGUGAUAUCCAAUAGGCUAGGCACUCACGAGGCUGGCUGUGGCAAGUGUAAGUGAAAGCAACACGCACUGGCAGGAAGAACAGCAAACGCCUAUGAAGGAAAAGGGUCUUUGCAGUGAUGGGCGUUACCAGAGAGGGCGAUGGCCAGAGGACACAAAUGGGACGGGGAGGCAGCGCGUUGGGGGGGGACGCGACACAGCUCGGGCCCGCCAGUGCCCCAACGGGGUCCUAGUUCUUUCUUUAGGGCCCGAGCGUAGCUGCUAAGCAGCUGCGAGAGCCCUCUUGUUCCUGUAGUUUCCUUCUUUUGUUAUUAUUAUUUUUCCUCCCCUUUGAACUGGAAAAUGGCCCACUUCCCACCCGCGAAAACUCAUGAAAUUUGGCAGGACGACCGGGCCUGGUGAAAAAUUUGAUAUUCCGAAGUCGCCCAAACAAGAAAAUGCAAAAUGGCUCCAUAGCGCCCCCUAAGGUGAAAAUUCACACUAUUGACUGUCACGCCUGUACGCUUUGUCAAAAUGACACAAAAAUUGACACACACAUGUAUCUCAGUAAGAUCUACAAAAAAGUCAGUGCGGGCGUAUCUGUCAAAUGUACGGUUAAAGGGUUAUUUCGCAUUUUUUGCCGAUCCGCACACAUUGGAAUUUCGCUAACUCCUCCGAAGGCUUUCGUUCCACCGGCACCACAUUUGCUCAGGCCAAUCUACACCCCAUGGCCAUUAAAAGUUAUUCAAAUCAUGACGCUGCACCCCACGGUUUAGGUUCUAGGGGGCGCCAAAGAUAACCCUAAGAUCCACAUAUUUAAAAGUCUUAUAACUUUUUAUUUUUGCCCUCACUGGCCUCCAAGUUUUCUAGGAUGAUGCAAUGUCCAGCCAUCAACACAUUUGUGAAGGAAUUUUUACUCCCCAAAAGAGCGCCCCCCCAUGGCAGGAGAAAAAAGUCAAUUUUUUCUUGUCCCCUAAGGUGAAAAUACACAUUGUUGAGUGUAACACCUGUACGCUUUGGCAAAAUGACACAAAAAUUGACACACACAUGUAUCUCAAUAAGAUCUACGAAAAAGUCAAUGCGCGCGUAUCUGUCAAAUGUACGGUUAAAGGGUUAUUCCGCAUUUUUUGCCGAUCCGCACACAUUGGAAUUUCGCUAACUCCUCCGAAGGCUUUCGUUCCACCGGCACCACAUUUGCUCAGGCCAAUCUACACCCCAUGGCCAUUAAAAGUUAUUCAAAUCAUGACGCUGCAUCCCACGGUUUAGGUUCUAGGGGGCGCCAAAGAUAACCCUAAAAUCCACAUAUUUAAAAGUCUUAUAACUUUUUAUUUUUGUCCUCACUGGCCUCCAAGUUUUCUAGGAUGAUGCAAUGUCCAGCCAUCAACACAUUUGUGAAGGAAUUUUUACUCCCCAAAAGAGCGCCCCCCCAUGGCAGGAGAAAAAAGUCAAUUUUUUCUUGUCCCCUAAGGUGGAAAUUCACACUAUUGACUGUCACGCCUGUACGCUUUAUCAUAUUGACACAAAAAUUGACACACAUAUGUAUCUCAAUAAGAUCUACAAAAAAGUCAAUUCGCGCGUAUCUGUCAAAUGUACGGUUAAAGGGCUAUUUUGCAUUUUUUGCCGAUUCGCACACAUUGGAAUGUGGCUAACUCCUCCUAAGGCUUUCGUCCCACUGACACCAAAUUUGCUCAGGCCAAUCUACACCCCAUGGCCAUUCAAAGUUGUAAAAAUCAUGACGCUGCACCCCACGGUUUACGUUCUAGGGGGCGCCAAAGAUGACCCAAAAAUCCACAUUCUUAAAAGAAUCCACAUCCCCCCUAUGGCAGGAGAAAAAGUCAAGUUUUUCCUGCCCAUCGCUCAAUGGCUCAAUCGCAUCGCUCUCCAGGCAACACCGUAAGGAGGAGCAACCUGGCAUUUCGAUAUAUCAUAGCUGUGUUUGUGCCCUCACUCAUGGUCCAGACUUUUUUCAAAUAGGACAUGAAGUUUGUCUGCAGCGAGUGUUUUGGUAGAAACUGCGCCUCCCAUUCAUUAUAAUGGGAAAUGACCACAGACAAGUGCGCACACCAUCUUUGGUUCUUGAGUGUGACUCGAUCGGGACGGGGAGGCGGUCGCGCUGGGGGCGGCGCGACACGGCUCGGGCCCGACAGUGCCCCACCGGGGCCCUAGUCUUUCUUUCUUUCUUUCUUCUUUUUCCUCCCCUUUGAACUGGAAAAUGGCCCACUUCCCACUGGCGAAAACUCAUGAAAUUUGGCAGGACGACCGGGCCUGGUGAAAAAUUCGAUAUUCUGAAGUCGCCCAAACAAUAAAAUGCAAAAUGGCUCCAUAGCGCCCCCUAAGGUGAAAAUUCACACUAUUGACUGUCACGCCUGUACGCUUUGUCAUAUUGACACAAAAAUUGACACACACAUGUAUCUCAAUAAGAUCUACAAAAAAGUCAGUGCGGGCGUAUCUGUCAAAUGUACGGUUAAAGGGUUAUUUCGCAUUUUUUGCCGAUCCGCACACAUUGGAAUUUCGCUAACUCCUCCGAAGGCUUUCGUUCCACCGGCACCACAUUUGCUCAGGCCAAUCUACACCCCGUGGCCAUUAAAAGUUAUCAAAAUCAUGACGCUGCACCCCAAGGUUUAGGUUCUAGGGGGCGCCAAAGAUAACACUAAAAUCCACAUAUUUAAAAGUCUUAUAACUUUUUAUUUUUGUCCUCACUGGCCUCCAAGUUUUCUAGGAUGAUGCAAUGUCCAGCCAUCAACACAUUUGUGAAGGAAUUUUUACUCCCCAAAAGAGCGCCCCCCCAUGGCAGGAGAAAAAAGUCCAUUUUUUCUUGUCCCCUUAGGUGAAAAUACACAUUGUUGAGUGUCACGCCUAUACGCUUUGUCAAAAUGACACAAAAAUUGACACACACAUGUAACUCAAUAAGAUCUACAAAAAAGUCCAUGCGCGCGUAUCUGUCAAAUGUACAGUUAAAGGGUUAUUCCGCAUUUUUUGCCGAUACGCACACAUUGGAAUUUCGCUAACUCCUCCGAAGGCUUUCGUUCCACCGGCACCACAUUUGCUCAGGCCAAUCUACACCCCAUGGCCAUUAAAAGUUAUUCAAAUCAUGAUGCUGCACCCCAUGGUUUAGGUUCUAGGGGGCGCCAAAAAUAACCCAAAAAUCCACAUUCUUAAAUGUUUUAUAACUUUUUAUUUUUGUCCUCACUGGCCUCCAAGUUUUCUAGGAUGAUGCAAUGUCCAGCCAUCAACACAUUUGUGAAGGAAUUUUUACUCCCCAAAAGAGCGCCCCCCCAUGGUAGGAGAAAAAAGUCAAUUUUUUCUUGUCCCCUUACAUAAAAAUACACAUUGUUGAGUGUCACGCCUGAACGCUUUGUCAUAUUGACACAAAAAUUGACAAUCAUGUGUAUCUCAAUUAGAUCUACGAAAAAGUCAAAGAGCGCGUAUCUGUAUAAUGUACGGUUAAAGGGCUAUUUUGCAUUUUUUGCCGAUUCGCACACAUUGGAAUGUGGCUAUCUCCUCCUAAGGCUUUCGUCCCACCGAUACCAAAUUUGCUCAGGGCAAUCUACACCCCAUGCCCAUUCAAAGUUGUAAAAAUCAUGACGCUGCACCCCACGGUUUACGUUCUAGGGGGCGCCAAAGAUGACCCAAAAAUCCACAUUCUUAAAAGUCAUUUUGGCCACUGCAGGAGUACAGAGUACUGCAGUUCUAGGGGGCGCCAAAGAUGACCCAAAAAUCCACAUUCUUAAAAGUCUUUUUGGCCACUGCAGGAGUACAGAGUACUGCAGGAUACACACACAUAUACACACACGCCAACAUACACACACACACACACACACACACACACACACACACACACACACAGACACACACACACACUCAGAGUCUGUUUUUUAGCACCUGCAAAAACAUGCUGUUUACAUAUUUGACAAGAAUGCAGAGGCUUCCUUUUGCCCCUGAAAAAAAUCAAAUUUCAAACACAACUUGACUGUUCAUUUCUCCAAAAGACAACCAUGAAGCUCCAUUUCAAACCUGAAGCAGAUAGUUGGUGCAUGUGUACAGUAACCUGAGGGGAGUGAGGUGACUAUUUCUGAGGAGAACAUGAGCAGUGAAGAUUCACCUUGGAGCUAGAACAGGGACGUGCACAUGAUUAUACAGGGGCAGGGGCUCAAGUUUUUUCCAGUCAUUUAUACAAUAUGGAAAUUAAUGUGAAAUUAAACCACAAAUAUGUGUGAUGAACUGUUUUUAAAACUUAAACUUCAAAUAAAAAUUGUAAACUUCAAAACAUAUGCAAAUUUUUAACAAAGAACAUAGUAAUUUACCUCUAUUUACAUCAAAAUGCAGGCAAUGGCCCAGGCGUUCUUUGUAAAAUUAUUUACAAAACACUGUAUAGUCUCACAAAUGUCACUUUUUAUUUAUGCCACUACAAAAAAACAUGAUGUAAAUGAUGCAUGAUGUAAAACAUGAUGUAAAAAACUUGUGUAGAUCCUCCUCUAUGUCAGUCCAUGUGUAAUUUUUCCAUAAUUCUUUGUUUUUUGCAGCAUUUUUGUUAGUGUAACUGCAGAUUUUGCUGACAGUGUCUAUGGCACAAAAAAAAAAAAAAAUUAAAAUGCCUCAACAUGAACCCCUGGUGGUCUCUGAGGGUGAAACCUGCUAACUGCUGCAGCUCUGUCAGCUUCAGUCUCCCAUGCAGAGCUCUGAGCGCAUGUGUGGCUCUGCACCCUUAGCAGCGUUGCUAACUCCUCAGUAAGGAAAGCCUGCUUCAUGUCAGAGUCUCUAAACUCCAGAAGAAGUCGAUAAAAGUCCCUUUCUUUCUAAAAAAAAGUCGUUAGGGUGUCUGAAAAGUCAUUGAAUCUAACAACAAAGUCGCUAGGUUUGCAACUACGUGUCCCAGACUGCAUCCCUGCUGAGAGUCCCUCCCUCCCUUCUCAUGUUGCAGGAAGAACGUAAGCGCCCGCCCCUUGUCAAUCAGUCACCAUAUAAUUUUGGAUUGGUUGUUGUGGUGAAGUUUUCCACCAAUAGGAGAGAUGUUGUGGUGUGUUUUUUUUUUCUUUUGGCAAGCCUUUUCCGCCUGUAAGACCUGUCGCUAAUGUCUGCAUGCUAUGUUUUCCUGUCUCAUACAGCGCGAUCGAGCGCCGAACGUGAUCAAAAUAAGCAGAAAAAAAGUAUCGCGGACAUAAUUUAUCAUAACUCUGGUUUUAUUUGGCCUAUCAACACAAUUUAAAAACUGGUAUAUAGGUUGAGGUCCUCACUUUUGAGAUAAGUUGAAACGGAGAGUCAACGAGGCUCCGUCUUGCAGCUACAUCAGGUUAAAUAUGUCAUGUGACUUGAACGCACACAUAGACACACACACACGCACACACACACACACACACACACACACACACACACACACACACACACACACACACACACACACUCAGAGUCUGGUUUUUAGCACCUGCAAAAACAUGCUAUUUACAUAUUUGACAAGAAUGCAGAGGCUCCUUUUGCCCCUGAAAAAAAUCAAAUUUCAAACACAACUUGACUGGUCAUUUCUCCAAAAGACAACCAUGAAGCUCCAUCCAAACCUGAAGCAGGCAGUUGGUGCAUGUGUACAGUAACCUGAGGGGAGUGAGGUGAGUGCUUCUGAGGAGAACAUGAGCAGUGAAGAUUCACCUUGGAGCUAGAACAGAGACAUGCACAUGAUUAUACGGGGGCAGGGGCUCAAGUUUUUUCCAGUCGUUUAUACAAUAUGGAAAUUAAUGUGAAAUUAAAACACAAAGUAUUAAUAGAAAGGUAAUGACUGUCCUGUGUAGGUGACAGUGAUAUCCAAUAGGCUAGGCACUCACGAGGCUGGCUGUGGCAAGUGUAAGUGAAAGCAACACGCACUGGCAGGAAGAACAGCAAACGCCGAUGAAGGAAAAGGGUCUUUGCAGUGAUGGGCGUUACCAGAGAGGGCGAUGGCCAGAGGACACAAAUGGGACGGGGAGGCAGCACGUUGGGGACGCGACACGGCUCGGGCCCGCCAGUGCCCCAACGGGGUCCUAGUUAGGGCCCGAGCCAGCUGCAGAGCAGCCGGGCGUAGGCCCUAUUAUUCCCCAAGUGGUUUUUCUUUGUUUCUUUCUUUCUUUCUUUCUUCUUUUUCCUCCCCUUUGAACUGGAAAAUGGCCCACUUCCCACUGGCGAAAACUCAUGAAAUUUGGCAGGACGACCGGGCCUGGUGAAAAAUUCGAUAUUCUGAAGUUGCCCAAACAAUAAAAUGCAAAAUGGCUCCAUAGCGCCCCCUAAGGUGGAAAUUCACACUAUUGACUGUCACGCCUGUACGCUUUGUCAUAUUGACACAAAAAUUGACACACAUAUGUAUCUCAAUAAGAUCUACAAAAAAGUCAGUGCGGGCGUAUCUGUCAAAUGUACGGUUAAAGGGUUAUUUGCAUUUUUUGCCGAUCCGCACACAUUGGAAUUUCGCUAACUCCUCCGAAGGCUUUCGUUCCACCGGCACCACAUUUGCUCAGGCCAAUCUACACCCCGUGGCCAUUAAAAGUUAUCAAAAUCAUGACGCUGCACUCCAAGGUUUAGGUUCUAGGGGGCGCCAAAGAUAACACUAAAAUCCACAUAUUUAAAAGUCUUAUAACUUUUUUUUUUUGUCCUCACUGGCCUCCAAGUUUUCUAGGAUGAUGCAAUGUCCAGCCAUCAACACAUUUGUGAAGGAAUUUUUACUCCCCAAAAGAGCGCCCCCCCAUGGCAGGAGAAAAAAGUCAAUUUUUUCUUGUCCCCUAAGGUGAAAAUACACAUUGUUGAGUGUCACGCCUAUACGCUUUGUCAAAAUGACACAAAAAUUGACACACACAUGUAACUCAAUAAGAUCUACGAAAAAGUCAAUGCGCGCGUAUCUGUCAAAUGUACGGUUAAAGGGUUAUUCCGCAUUUUUUGCCGAUCCGCACACAUUGGAAUGUGGCUAACUCCUCCUAAGGCUUUCGUUCCACCGGCACCACAUUUGCUUAGGCCAAUCUACACCCCAUGGCCAUUAAAAGUUAUUCAAAUCAUGACGCUGCACCCCACGGUUUAGGUUCUAGGGGGCGCCAAAGAUAACCCUAAAAUCCACAUAUUUAAAAGUCUUAUAACUUUUUAUUUUUGUCCUCACUGGCCUCCAAGUUUUCUAGGAUGAUGCAAUGUCCAGCCAUCAACACAUUUGUGAAGGAAUUUUUACUCCCCAAAAGAGCGCCCCCCCAUGGCAGGAGAAAAAAGUCCAUUUUUUCUUGUCCCCUAAGGUGAAAAUACAUUUUGUUGAGAUUCACGCCUAUACGCUUUGUCAUAUUGACACAAAAUUUGACAAUCACGUGCCUUGCCUGGUAUCAUUUUUUUCAGCACAACCUCACCUGUGCGAAUUUACAGUUAUUUUAUCAUGUUGACAUACUGAAUUUACACAAUGGACCCAAAUUCACACACAAAACAUAAAAUCCGAGUGGAAAAAAGUAACAUUUUUACUGUGAAAACCACAAAUAUGUGUGAUGAACUGUUUUUAAAACUUAAACUUCAAAUAAAAAUUGUAAACUUCAAAACAUAUGCAAAUUUUUAACAAAGAACAUAGUGAUUUACCUCUAUUUACAUCAAAAUGCAGGCAAUGGCCCAGGCGUUCUUUGUAAAAUUAUUUACAAAACACUGUAUAGUCUCACAAAUGUCACUUUUUAUUUAUGCCACUACAAAAAAACAUGAUGUAAAUGAUGCAUGAUGUAAAACAUGAUGUAAAAAACUUGUGUAGAUCCUCCUCUAUGUCAGUCCAUGUGUAAUUUUUCCAUAAUUCUUUGUUUUUUGCAGCAUUUUUGUUAGUGUAACUGCAGAUUGUGCUGACAGUGUCUAUGGCACAAAAAAAAAAAAAAAUUUAAAAUGCCUCAACAUGAACCCCUGGUGGUCUCUGAGGGUGAAACCUGCUAACUGCUGCAGCUCUGUCAGCUUCAGUCUCCCAUGCAGAGCUCUGAGUGCAUGUGUGGCUCUGCACCCUUAGCAGCGUUGCUAACUCCUCAGUAAGGAAAGCCUGCUUCAUGUCAGAGUCUCUAAACUCCAGAAGAAGUCGAUAAAAGUCCCUUUCUUUCUAAAAAAAAGUCGUUAGGGGGUCUGAAAAGUCAUUGAAUCUAACAACAAAGUCGCUAGGUUUGCAACUACGUGUCCCAGACUGCAUCCCUGCUGAGAGUCCCUCCCUCCCUUCUCAUGUUGCAGGAAGAACGUAAGCACCCGCCCCUUGUCAAUCAGUCACCAUAUAAUUUUGGAUUGGUUGUUGUGGUGAAGUUUUCCACCAAUAGGAGAGAUGUUGUGGUGUGUUUUUUUUUCUUUUGGCAAGCCUUUUCCGCCUGUAAGACCUGUCGCUAAUGUCUGCAUGCUAUGUUUUCCUGUCUCAUACAGCGCGAUCGAGCGCCGAACGUGAUCAAAAUAAGCAGAAAAAAAGUAUCGCGGACAUAAUUUAUCAUAACUCUGGUUUUAUUUGGCCUAUCAACACAAUUUAAAAACUGGUAUAUAGGUUGAGGUCCUCACUUUUGAGAUAAGUUGAAACGGAGAGUCAACGAGGCUCCGUCUUGCAGCUACAUCCGGUUAAAUAUGUCAUGUGACUUGAACGCACACACAGACACACACACACACGCACACACACACACACACACUCAGAGUCUGGUUUUUAGCACCUGCAAAAACAUGCUAUUUACAUAUUUGACAAGAAUGCAGAGGCUCCUUUUGCCCCUGAAAAAAAUCAAAUUUCAAACACAACUUGACUGCUCAUUUCUCCAAAAGACAACCAUGAAGCUCCAUCCAAACCUGAAGCAGGCAGUUGGUGCAUGUGUACAGUAACCUGAGGGGAGUGAGGUGAGUGCUUCUGAGGAGAACAUGAGCAGUGAAGAUUCACCUUGGAGCUAGAACAGAGACAUGCACAUGAUUAUACAGGGGCAGGGGCUCAAGUUUUUUCCAGUCGUUUAUACAAUAUGGAAAUUAAUGUGAAAUUAAAACACAAAGUAUUAAUAGAAAGGUAAUGACUGUCCUGUGUAGGUGACAGUGAUAUCCAAUAGGCUAGGCACUCACGAGGCUGGCUGUGGCAAGUGUAAGUGAAAGCAACACGCACUGGCAGGAAGAACAGCAAACGCCGAUGAAGGAAAAGGGUCUUUGCAGUGAUGGGCGUUACCAGAGAGGGCGAUGGCCAGAGGACACAAAUGGGACGGGAAGGCAGCACGUUGGGGGGGGGGGGGGGGCGCGACACGGCUCGGGCCCGCCAGUGCCCCAACGGGGUCCUAGUUAGGGCCCGAGCCAGCUGCAGAGCAGCCGGGCGUAGAGCCCUAUUAUUCCUGAUGAGUUUUUCUUUCUUCUUUCUUUCUUUCUUUCUUUCUUUCUUCUUAUUUUUCCUCCCCUUUGAAGGGGAAAAUGGCCCACUUCCCACUGGCGAAAACUCAUGACAUUUGGCAGGAUGACCGGGCCUGGUGAAAAAUUCGAGUUUUUCCUGCCCAUCGCUCAAUGGCUCAAACGCAUCGCUCUCUCGGCAAAACCUAAAGGAGGAGCACCUUGCCAUUUGGAUAUAUACUAGCUGUGUUUGUGCCCUCACUCAUGGUCCAGACUUUUUUCAAAAAGGACAUGGAGUUUGUCUGCAGCGAGCGUUUUGGUAGAAACUGCGCCUCCCAUUCAUUAUAAUGGUAAAUGACCACAGACAAGUGCGCACACCAUCUUUGGACCUUGAGUGUGAUGCGAUCGGGAGGGGUAGGCGGUCGCGCUGGGGGCGGCGCGACACGGCUCGGGCCCGCCAGUGCCCCAACGGGGCCCUAGUUAUUAUUUUUCCUCCCCUUUGAACUGGAAAAUGGCCCACUUCCCACUGGCGAAAACUCAUGAAAUUUGGCAGGACGACCGGGCCUGGUGAAAAAUUUGAUAUUCCGAAGUCGCCCAAACAAGAAAAUGCAAAAUGGCUCCAUAGCGCCCCCUAAGGUGAAAAUUCACACUAUUGACUGUCACGCCUGUACGCUUUGUCAAAAUGACACAAAAAUUGACACACACAUGUAUCUCAAUAAGAUCUACAAAAAAGUCAGUGCGGGCGUAUCUGUCAAAUGUACGGUUAAAGGGUUAUUUCGCAUUUUUUGCCGAUCCGCACACAUUGGAAUUUCGCUAACUCCUCCGAAGGCUUUCGUUCCACCGGCACCACAUUUGCUCAGGCCAAUCUACACCCCAUGGCCAUUAAAAGUUAUUCAAAUCAUGACGCUGCACCCCACGGUUUAGGUUCUAGGGGGCGCCAAAGAUAACCCUAAGAUCCACAUAUUUAAAAGUCUUAUAACUUUUUAUUUUUGCCCUCACUGGCCUCCAAGUUUUCUAGGAUGAUGCAAUGUCCAGCCAUCAACACAUUUGUGAAGGAAUUUUUACUCCCCAAAAGAGCGCCCCCCCAUGGCAGGAGAAAAAAGUCCAUUUUUUCUUGUCCCCUAAGGUGAAAAUACACAUUGUUGAGUGUAACACCUGUACGCUUUGGCAAAAUGACACCAAAAUUGAGACACACAUGUAUCUCAAUAAGAUCUACAAAAAAGUCAAUGCGCACGUAUCUGUCAAAUGUACGGUUAAAGGGUUAUUCCGCAUUUUUUGCCGAUCCGCACACAUUGGAAUUUCGCUAACUCCUCCGAAGGCUUUCGUUCCACCGGCACCACAUUUUCUCAGGCCAAUCUACACCCCAUGGCCAUUAAAAGUUAUUCAAAUCAUGACGCUGCACCCCACGGUUUAGGUUCUAGGGGGCGCCAAAGAUAACCGUAAAAUCCACAUAUUUAAAAGUCUUAUAACUUUUUAUUUUUGUCCCCACUGGCCUCCAAGUUUUCUAGGAUGAUGCAAUGUCCAGCAAUCAACACAUUUGUGAAGGAAUUUUUACUCGCCAAAAGAGCGCCCCCCCAUGGCAGGAGAAAAAAGUCCAUUUUUUCUUGUCCACUAAGGUGAAAAUACACAUUGUUGAGUGCUACGCCUGUAUGUUUUGUCGUAUUGACACAAAAUUUUACAUACACGUGUCUUUCAAUAAGAUCUACAAAAAAGUCAAUGCGCACGUAUCUGUCAAAUGUACGGUUAAAGGGUUAUUCCGCAUUUUUUGCCGAUCCGCACACAUUGGAAUUUCGCUAACUCCUCCGAAGGCUUUCGUUCCACCGGCACCACAUUUGCUCAGGCCAAUCUACACCCCAUGGCCAUUAAAAGUUAUUCAAAUCAUGACGCUGCACCCCACGGUUUAGGUUCUAGGGGGCGCCAAAGAUAACCCUAAAAUCCACAUAUUUAAAAGUCUUAUAACUUUUUAUUUUUGUCCUCACUGGCCUCCAUGUUUUCUAGGAUGAUGCAAUGUCCAGCCAUCAACACAUUUGUGAAGGAGUUUUUUCUCGUUAAAAGAGCGCCCCCCCAUGGCAGGAGAAUAAAGUCAAGUUUUUCCUGUUCAUCAUUCAAUGGCUCAAACGCACUGCUCUCUCGGCAAAAGCGAAAGGAGGAGCAACUUGCCAUUUGGAUAUAUCUUAGCUGUGUUUGUGCCCUCACUCAUGGUCCAGACUUUUUUCAAAUAGGACAUGGAGUUUUUCUGCAGCGAGCGUUUUGGUAGAAACUGCGCCUCCCGUUCAUUAUAAUGGUAAAUGACCACAAACAAGUGCGCACACCAUCUUUGGACCUUGAGUGUGACGCGAUCGGGUGGGGGAGGCGGUUGUGCUGGGGGCGGCGUGACACGGCUCGGGCCCGCCAGUGCCCCAACGGGGCCCUAGUCUCUUCUUUUUCCUCCCCUUUGAACUGGAAAAUGGCCCACUUCCCACUGGCGAAAACUCAUGAAAUUUGGCAGGACGACCGGGCCUGGUGAAAAAUUCGAUAUUCUGAAGUCGCCCAAACAAUAAAAUGCAAAAUGGCUCCAUAGCGCCCCCUAAGGUGGAAAUUCACACUAUUGACUGUCACGCCUGUACGCUUUGUCAUAUUGACACAAAAAUUGACACACAUAUGUAUCUCAAUAAGAUCUACAAAAAAGUCAGUGCGGGCGUAUCUGUCAAAUGUACGGUUAAAGGGUUAUUCCGCAUUUUUUGCCGAUCCGCACACAUUGGAAUGUGGCUAACUCCUCCUAAGGCUUUCGUUCCACCGGCACCACAUUUGCUCAGGCCAAUCUACACCCCAUGGCCAUUAAAAGUUAUUCAAAUCAUGACGCUGCACCCCACGGUUUAGGUUCUAGGGGGCGCCAAAGAUAACCCUAAAAUCCACAUAUUUAAAAGUCUUAUAACUUUUUAUUUUUGCCCUCACUGGCCUCCAAGUUUUCUAGGAUAAUGCAAUGUCCAGCCAUCAACACAUUUGUGAAGGAAUUUUGACUCCCCAAAAGAGCGCCCCCCCCAUGGCAGGAGAAAAAAGUCCAUUUUUUCUUGUCCCCUAAGGUGAAAAUACACAUUGUAGAGUGUCACGCCUGUACGCUUUGUCAAAAUGACACAAAAUUUGACAUACACGUGUAUUUCAAUAAGAUCUUCGAAAAAGUUUAUGGCCACGUAUCUGUAAAAUGUACGGUUAAAGGGUUAUUUUGCAUUUUUUGCAGAUCCGCACACAUUGGAAUGUGGCUAACUCCUCCUAAGGCUUUUGUUCCACUAGCACCACAUUUGCUCAGGCCAAUCUACACCCCGUGGCCAUUAAAAGUUAUUAAAAUCAUGACGCUGCACCCCACGGUUAAGGUUCUAGGGGGCGCCAAAGAUAACCCUAAAAUCCACAUAUUUAUAAAGUCUUAUAACUUUUUAUUUUUGUCCUCACUGGCCUCCAAGUUUUCUAGGAUGAUGCAAUGUCCAGCCAUCAACACAAUUGUGAAGGAAUUUUUACUCCCCAAAAGAACGCCCCCCCAUGGCAGGAGAAAAAAGUCCACUUUUUCUUGUCCCAUAAGGUGAAAAUACACAUUGUUGACUGUCAUACCUGUACGCUUUGUCAUAUUGACACAAAAUUUGACACACACAUGUAUCUCAAUAAGAUCUACGAAAAAGUCAAUGCGCGCGUAUCUGUAAAAUGUACGGUUAAAGGGUUAUUCCGCAUUUUUUGCCGAUCCGCACACAUUGGAAUGUGGCUAACUCCUCCUAAGGCUUUCGUUCCACCGGCACCACAUUUGCUCAGGCCAAUCUACACCCCAUGGCCAUUUAAAGUUAUUCAAAUCAUGACGCUGCACCCCACGGUUUAGGUUCUAGGGGGCGCCAAAGAUAACCCAAAAAUCCACAUUCUUAAUAGUCUUAUAACUUUUUAUUUUUGUCCUCACUGGCCUCCAAGUUUUCUAGGAUGAUGCAAUGUCCAGCCAUCAACACAUUUGUAAAGGAAUUUUUACUCCCGAAAAGAGCGCCCCCCCAUGGCAGGAGAAAAAAGUCAAUUUUUUCUUGUCCCCUAAGGUGAAAAAACACAUUGUUGACUGUCACGCCUAUACGCUUUGUCAAAAUGACACAAAAAUUGACACACAUGUGUAUCUUAAUACGGUCUACAAAAAAGUCAGCGCGGGCGCAUCUGUGAAAUGUACGGUUAGAGGGUUAUUUCGCAUUUUUUGCAGAUCUGCACACAUUGGAAUUUCGCUAACUCCUCCGAAGGCAUUCAUUCCACCGGCACCACAUUUGCUCAGGCCAAUCUACACCCCAUGGCCAUUAAAAGUUGUACAAAUCAUGACGCUGCACCCCACGGUUUAGGUUCUAGGGGGCGCCAAAGAUGACCCAAAUAUCCACAUUCUUAAAAGAAUCCACAUCCCCCCCCCCCCCCCCCCCCCAAGGCAGGAGAAAAAGUCAAGUUAACCCUGCCCGUCGCUCAAUGGCUCAAUCGCAUCGCUCUCCCGGCAACACCGUGAGGAGGAGCAACUUGCCAUUUGGAUAUAUCCUAGCUGUGUUUGUGCCCUCACUCAUGGUCCAGACUUUUUUCAAAUAGGACAUGUAGUUUGUCUGCAGCGACCGUUUUGGUAGAAACUGCGCCUCCCAUUCAUUAUAAUGGGAAAUGACCACAGACAAGUGCGCACACCAUCUUCGGACCUUGAGUGUGAUGCGAUCGGGAGGGGGAGGCGGUCGCGCUGGGGGCGGCGCGACGCGGCUCGGGCCCGACAGUGCCCCACCGGGGCCCUAGUUAUUAUUAUUUUUCCUCCGCUUUAAACUGGAAAAUGGCCCACUUCCCACUGGCGAAAACUCAUGAAAUUUGGCAGGACGACCGGGCCUGGUGAAAAAUUCGAUAUUCUUAAGUCGCCCAAACAAUAAAAUGCAAAAUGGCUCCAUAGCGCCCCCUAAGGUGAAAAUUCACACUAUUGACUGUCAUGCCUGUACGCUUUGUCAAAAUGACACAAAAAUUGACACACACAUGUAUCUCAAUAAGAUCUACAAAAAAGUCAGUGCGGGCGUAUCUGUCAAAUGUACGGUUAAAGGGUUAUUUCGCAUUUUUUGCAGAUCCCCACACAUUGGAAUUUCGCUAACUCCUCUGAAGACUUUCGUUCCACCAGCACCACAUUUGCUCAGGCCAAUCUACACCCCAUGGCCAUUAAAAGUUGUACAAAUCAUGACGCUGCACCCCACGGUUUAGGUUCUAGGGGGCGCCAAAGAUAACCCAAAAAUCCACAUUCUUUAAAGUCUUAUAACUUUUUAUUUUUGUCCUCACUGGCCUCCAAGUUCUCUAGGAUGAUGCAAUGUCCAGCCAUCAACACAUUUGUGAAGGAAUUUUUACUCCCCAAAAGAGCGCCCCCCCAUGGCAGGAGAAAAAAGUUAAUUUUUUCUUGUCCCCUAGGGUGAAAAUACACAUUGUUCAGUGUCACGCCUGUACGCUUUGUCAUAUUGACACAAAAUUUGACAAUCACGUGUAUCUCAAUAAGAUCUACGAAAAAGUCAAUGCGCACGUAUCUGUAAAAUGUACGGUUAAAGGGCUAUUUCGCAUUUUUUGCCGAUUCGCACACAUUGGAAUGUGGCUAACUCCUCCUAAAGCUUUCGUCCCAUCGGCACCAAAUUUGCUCAGGCCAAUCUACACCCCAUGGCCAUUCAAAGUUGUACAAAUCAUGACGCUGCACUCCACGGUUUACGUUCAAGGGGGCGCCAAAGAGGACCCAAAUAUCCACAAUUUCAAAAGUCUUAUAACUUUUUGUUUUUGUCCUCACUGGCCUCCAAGUUUUCUAGGAUAAUGCAAUGUUCAGCCAUCAACACAUUUGUGAAAGAAUUUUUUCUCCCCAAACGAGCGCCCCCCCAUGGCAGGAGAAAAAGUUAAGUUUUUCCUGCCCAUCGCCCAAUGGCUCAAACGCAUCGCUCUCUCGGCAAAACCGAAAGGAGGAGCAACUUGCCAUUUGGAUAUAUCGAAGCUGUGUUUGUGCCCUCACUCAUGGUCCAGACUUUUUUCAAAAAGGACAUGGAGUUUGUCUGCAGCGAGCGUUUUGGUAGAAACUGCGCCUCCCAUUCAUUAUAAUGGUAAAUGACCACAGACAAGUGCGCACACCAUCUUUGGACCUUGAGUGUGACUCGAUCGGGAGGGGGAGGGGGUCGCGCUGGGGGCAGCACGACACGGCUCGGGCCCGCCAGUGCCCCAGCGGGGCCCUAGUUCUUUGUUUCUUUCUUUCUUUAGGGCCCGAGCGUAGCUGCUAAGCAGCUGCGAGAGCCCUAUUAUUCCCCAAGUGGUUUUUCUUUGUUUCUUUUUAGGGCCCGAGCGUAGCUGCUAAGCAGCUGCGAGAGCCCUCUUGUUCCUGAUGGAUUCUUCUUUUGUUAUUAUUAGGGCCCGAGCGUAGCUGCUAAGCAGCUGCGAGAGCCCUGUUGUUCCUGAUAAGUUUUUCUUUCUUCUUUCUUUCUUUCUUUCUUUCUUCUUAUUUUUCCUCCCCUUUGAGGGGGAAAAUGGCCCACUUCCCACUGGCGAAAACUCAUGAAAUUUGACAGGACGACCGGGCCUGGUGAAAAAUUCGAUAUUCUGAAGUCGCCCAAACAAUGAAAUGCAAAAUGGCUCCAUAGCGCCCCCUAAGGUGAAAAUUCACACUAUUGACUGUCACGCCUGUACGCUUUGUCAUAUUGACACAAAAAUUGACACACACAUGUAUCUCAAUAAGAUCUACAAAAAAGUCAGCGCGGGCGUGUCUGUCAAAUGUACGGAUAAAGGGUUAUUUCGCAUUUUUUGCCGAUCCGCACACAUUGGAAUUUCGCUUACUCCUCCGAAGACUUUCGUUCCACCGGCACCACAUUUGCUCAGGCCAAUCUACACCCCAUGGCCAUUAAAAGUUGUACAAAUCAUGACGCUGCACCCCACGGUUUACGUUCUAGGGGGCGCCAAAGAUAACCCAAAAAUCCACAGUCUUAAAAGUCUUAUAACUUUUUAUUUUUGUCCUCACUGGCCUCCAAGUUCUCUAGGAUGAUGCAAUGUCCAGCAAUUAACACAUUUGUGAAGGAAUUUUUACUCGCCAAAAGAGCGCCCCCCCAUGGCAGGAGAAAAAAGUCAAUUUUUUCUUGUCCCCUAAGGCGAAUAUACACAUUGUUGAGUGUCACGCCUGUACGCUUUGUCAUAUUGACACAAAAUUUGACAAUCACGUGUAUCUCAAUAAGAUCUACGAAAAAGUCAAUGUGCGCGUAUCUGUAAAAUUUACAGUUAAAGGGCUAUUUCGCAUUUUUUGCCGAUUCGCACACAUUGGAAUGUGGCUAACUCCUCCUAAGGCUUUCGUUCCACUGACACCAAAUUUGCUCAGGCCAAUCUACACCCCAUGGCCAUUCAAAGUUGUACAAAUCAUGACGCUGCAUCCCACGGUUUACGUUCUAGGGGGCGCCAAAGAUGACCCAAAUAUCCACAUUUUUAAAAGUCUUAUAACUUUAUUUUUGUCCUCACUGGCCUCCAAGUUUUCUAGGAUGAUGCAAUGUUCAGUCAUCAACACAUUUGUGAAGGAAUUUUUUUUUCCCCAAAAGAGCGCCCCCCCCAUGGCAGGAGAAAAAGUCAAGUUUUUCCUGCCCAUCGCUCAAUGGCUCAAAUUCAUCGCUCCCUCGGCAAAACCGAAAGGAGGAGCACCUUGCCAUUUGGGUAUAUACUAGCUGUGUUUGUGCCCUCACUCAUGGUCCAGACUUUUUUCAAAAAGGACAUGGAGUUUGUCUGCAGCGAGCGUUUUGGUAGAAACUGCGCCUCCCAUUCAUUAUAAUGGUAAAUGACCACAGACAAGUGCGCACACAAUCUUUGGACCUUUAGUGUGACGCGAUCAGGAGGGGUAGGUGGUCGCGCUGGGAGCGGCGCGACACGGCUCGGGCCCGCCAGUGCCCCAACGGGGCCCUAGUUAUUAUUAUUUUUCCUCCGCUUUAAACUGGAAAAUGGCCCACUUCCCACUGGCGAAAACUCAUGAAAUUUGGCAGGACGACCGGGCCUGGUGAAAAAUUCGAUAUUCUGAAGUCGCCCAAACAAUAAAAUGCAAAAUGGCUCCAUAGCGCCCCCUAAGGCGAAAAUUCACACUAUUGACUGUCACGCCUGUACGCUUUGUCAUAUUGACACAAAAAUUGACACACACGUGUAUCUCAAUACGGUCUACGAAAAAGUCAGCGCGUGCGCAUCUGUGAAAUGUACGGUUAGAGGGUUAUUUCGCAUUUUUUGCAGAUCUGCACACAUUGGAAUUUCGCUAACUCCUCCGAAGGCAUUCGUUCCACCGGCACCACAUUUGCUCAGGCCAAUCUACACCCCAUGGCCAUUAAAAGUUAUUCAAAUCAUGACGCUGCACCCCACGGUUUAGGUUCUAGGGGGCGCCAAAAAUAACCCUAAAAUCCACAUAUUUCAAAGUCUUAUAACUUUUUAUUUUUGUCCUCACUGGCCUCCAAGUUUUCUAGGAUGAUGCAAUGUCCAGCCAUCAACACAUUUAUGAAGGAAUUUUUACUCCCCAAAAGAGCGCCCCCCCAUGGCAGGAGAAAAAAGUCCAUUUUUUCUUGUCCCCUAAGGUGAAAAUACACAUUGUUGAGUGUCACGCCUUUACGCUUUGGCAAAAUGACACAAAAAUUGACACACACAUGUAUCUCAAUAAGAUCUACGAAAAAGUCAUUGGGCGCGUAUCUGUCAAAUGUACGGUUAAAGGGUUAUUCCGCAUUUUUUGCCCAUCCGCACACAUUGGAAUUUCGCUAACUCCUCCGAAGGCUUUCGUUCCACCGGCACCACAUUUGCUCAGGCCAAUCUACACCCCAUGGCCAUUAAAAGUUAUUCAAAUCAUGACGCUGCACCCCACGGUUUACGUUCUAGGGGGCGCCAAAGAUAACCCAAAAAUCCACAUUUUUAAAAGUCUUAUAACUUUUUAUUUUUGUCCUCACUGGCCUCCAAAUUUUCUAGGAUGAUGCAAUGUCCAGCCAUCAACACAUUUGUGAAGGAAUUUUUACUCCCUAAAAGAGCGCCCCCCCAUGGCAGGAGAAAAAAGUCCAUUUUUUCUUGUCCCCUAAGGUGAAAAUACACAUUGUUGACUGUCACGCCUGUACGCUUUGGCAAAAUGACACAAAAAUUGACAAUCAUGUGUAUCUCAAUUAGAUCUACGAAAAAGUCAAAGAGCGCGUAUCUGUAUAAUGUACGGUAAAAGGGCUAUUUUGCAUUUUUUGCCGAUUCGCACACAUUGGAAUUUCGCUAACUCCUCCUAAGGCUUUCGUCCCACUGACACCAAAUUUGCUCAGGCCAAUCUACACUCCAUGGCCAUUCAAAGUUGUAAAAAUCAUGACGCUGCACCCCACGGUUUACGUUUUAGGGGGCGCCAAAGAUGACCCAAAUAUACAUUACAGUAGACAAAGUAGUUUUGCCCACUGAGUGGCGCCAAAGGGACUUGUCUGUGGAGUCUGUGAGUCACUAUUGGCCGUUUUUGACUACUUUAGAUUUUACCUUUAUAUUUCCUCUUACAAAAUUUUUACCUUGCCUUGCCUGGUAUCAUUUUUUUCAGCACAGCCUCACCUGUGUCAAUUUACAGUUAUUUUAUCAUUUUGACAUACUAUAUUUACACAUUGGACCCAAAUUCACACACAAAACAUAAAAUCCGAGUGGAAAAAAGUAACGUUUUUACUGUGAAAACCACAAAUAUGUGUGAUGAACUGUUUUUAAAACUUAAACUUCAAAUAAAAAUUGUAAACUUCAAAACAUAUGCAAAUUUUUAACAAAGAACAUAGUAAUUUACCUCUAUUGACAUCAAAAUGCAGGCAAUGGCCCAGGUGUUCUUUGUAAAAUUAUUUCCAAAACACUGUAUAGUCUCACAAAUGUCACUUUUUAUUUAUGCCACUACAAAAAAACAUGAUGUAAAUGAUGCAUGAUGUAAAACAUGAUGUAAAAAACUUGUGUAGAUCCUCCUCUAUGUUAGUCCAUGUGUAAUUUUUCCAUAAUUCUUUGUUUUUUGCAGCAUUUUUGUUAGUGUAACUGCAGAUUGUGCUGACAGUGUCUAUGGCACAAAAAAAAAAACAAAAAACUGAAAAUGCCUCAACAUGAACCCCUGGUGGUCUCUGAGGGUGAAACCUGCUAACUGCUGCAGCUCUGUCAGCUUCAGUCUCCCAUGCAGAGCUCGGAGCGCAUGUGUGGCUCUGCACCCUUAGCAGCGUUGCUAACUCCUCAGUAAGGAAAGCCUGCUUCAUGUCAGAGUCUCUAAACUCCAGAAGGAGUCGAUAAAAGUCACUUUCUUUCUAAAAAAGUCGUUAGGGGGUCUGAAAAGUCAUUGAAUCUAACAACAAAGUCGCUAGGUUUGCAACUACGUGUCCCAGACUGCAUCCCUGCUGAGAGUCCCUCCCUCCCUUCUCAUAUUGCAGGAAGAACGUAAGUUCCCGCCCCUUGUCAAUCAGUCACCAUAUAAUUUUGGAUUGGUUGUUGUGGUGAAGUUUUCCACCAAUAGGAGAGAUGUUGUGGUGUGUAUUUUUUUUCCUUUGGCAAGCCUUUUCCGCCUGUAAGACCUGUCGCUAAUUUCUGCAUGCUAUGUUUUCCUGUCUCAUACAGCGCGAUCGAGCGCCGAACGUGAUCAAAAUAAGCAGAAAAAAAGUAUCGCGGACAUAAUUUAUCAUAACUCUGGUUUUAUUUGGCCUAUCAACACAAUUUAAAAACUGGUAUAUAGGUUGAGGUCCUCACUUUUGAGAUAAAUUGAAACGGAGAGUCAACGAGGCUCCGUCUUGCAGCUACAUCCGGUUAAAUAUGUCAUGUGACUUGAACGCACACACACACACACACACAGACACACACGCACACACACACACACUCAGAGUCUGGUUUGUAGCACCUGCAAAAACAUGCUAUUUACAUAUUUGACAAGAAUGCAGAGGCUCCUUUUGCCCCUGAAAAAAAUCAAAUUUCAAACACAACUUGACUGGUCAUUUCUCCAAAAGACAACCAUGAAGCUCCAUCCAAACCUGAAGCAGGCAGUUGGUGCAUGUGUACAGUAACCUGAGGGGAGUGAGGUGACUGCUUCUGAGGAGAACAUGAGCAGUGAAGAUUUACCUUAGAGCUAGAACAGAGACGUGCACAUGAUUAUACAGGGGCAGGGGCUCAAGUUUUUUCCAGUCGUUUAUACAAUUUGGAAAUUAAUGUGAAAUUAAAAAACAAAGUAUUAAUAGAAAGGUAAUGACUGUCCUGUGUAGGUGACAGUGAUAUCCAAUAGGCUAGGCACUCACGAGGCUGGCUGUGGCAAGUGUAAGUGAAAGCAACACGCACUGGCAGGAAGAACAGCAAACGCCGAUGAAGGAAAAGGGUCUUUGCAUUGAUGGGCGUUACCAAAGAGGGCGAUGGCCAGAGGACACAAAUGGGACGGGGAGGCAGCGCGUUGGGGGGGGGACGCGACACAGCUCGGGCCCGCCAGUGCCCCAACGGGGUCCUAGUUAUUAUUUUUCCUCCGCUUUAAACUGGAAAAUGGCCCACUUCCCACUGGCGAAAACUCAGGAAAUUUGGCAGGACGACCGGGCCUGGUGAAAAAUUCGAUAUUCUGAAGUCGCCCAAACAAUAAAAUGCAAAAUGGCUCCAUAGCGCCCCCUAAGGUGAAAAUUCACACUUUUGACUGUCACGCCUGUACGCUUUGUCAUAUUGACACAAAAAUUGACACACACAUGUAUCUCAAUAAGAUCUAAAAAAAAGUCAGUGCGGGCGUAUCUGUCAAAUGUACGGUUAAAGGGUUAUUUCGCAUUUUUUGCAGAUCCGCACACAUUGGAAUUUUGUUAACUCCUCCGAAGGCUUUCGUUCCACCGGCACCACAUUUGCUCAGGCCAAUCUACACUCCAUGGCCAUUCAAAGUUGUACAAAUCAUGAUGUUGCACCCCAUGGUUUAGGUUCUAGGGGGCGCCAAAAAUAACCCAAAAAUCCACAUUCUUAAAAGUUUUAUAACUUUUUUUUUUUGUCCUCACUGGCCUCCAAGUUUUCUAGGAUGAUGCAAUGUCCAGCCAUCAACACAUUUGUGAAGGAAUUUUUACUCCCCAAAAGAGCGCCCCCCAUGGCAGGACAAAAAAGUCAAUUUUUUCUUGUCCCCUAAGGUGAAAAUACACAUUGUUGAGAUUCACGCUUGUACGCUUUGUCAUAUUGACAAAAAAUUUGACACACACGUGUAUCUCAAUAAGAUCUACGAAAAAGUCAAUGCGCGCGUAUCUGUAAAAUGUAUGGCUAAAGGGCUAUUUUGCAUUUUUUGCCGAUUCGCACACAUUGGAAUGUGGCUAACUCCUCCUAAGGCUUUCGUCCCACUGACACCAAAUUUGCUCAGGCCAAUCUACACCCCAUGGCCAUUCAAAGUUGUAAAAAUCAUGCCGCUGCACUCCAUGGUUUACGUUCUAGGGGUCGCCAAAGAUAACCCAAAAAUCCACAUUCUUAAAAGUCUUAUAACUUUUCAUUUUUGUCCUCACUGGCUUCAAAGUUUUCUAGGAUGAUGCAAUGUCUAGCCAUCAACACAUUUGUGAAGGAAUUUUUUCUCCCUAAAAGAGUGCCCCCCCAUGGCAGGAGAAAAAGUCAAGUUUUUCCUGCCCAUCGCUCAAUGGCUCAAACACAUCGCUCUCUCGGAAAAAAACGAAAGGAGGAGGAACUUGCCAUUUGGAUAUAUCCUAGCUGUGUUUGUGCCCUCACUCAUGGUCCAGACUUUUUUCAAAUAGGACAUGUAGUUUGUCUGCAGCAAGCGUUUUGGUAGAAACUGCGCCUCCCAUUCAUUAUAAUGGUAAAUGACCACAGACAAGUGCGCACACCAUCGUUGAACCUUGAGUGUGACGCGAUCGGGAGGGAGAGGCGGUCGUGUUGGGGGCGGCGUGACACAGCUCGGGCCCGCCAGUGCCCCAACGGGGCCCUAGUCUUCUUCUUCUUAUUAUUUUUCUGCCCCUUUGAACUGGAAAAUGGCCCACUUUCCACUGGUGAAAACUCAUGAAAUUUGGCAGGACAACCGGGCCUGGUGAAAAAUUCGAUAUUCUGAAGUCACCCAAACAAUCAAUUGCAAAAUGGCUCCAUAGCGCCCCCUAAGGUGAAAAAUUCACAUGAUUGAGUGUCACGCCUGUACGCUUUGUCAAAAUGACACAAAAUUUGACACACACGUGUAUCUCAAUAAGAUCUACAAAAAAGUCAGUGCGGGCGUAUCUGUCAAAUGUACGUUUAAAGGGCUAUUUCGCAUUUUUUGCCGAUCCGCACACAUUGGAAUUUCGCUAACUCCUCCGAAGGCUUUCGUUCCACCGGCACCACAUUUGCUCAGGCCAAUCUAACCCCCAUGGCCAUUCAAAGUUGUACAAAUCAUGACACUGCACCCCACGGUUUACGUUGUAGGGGGCGCCAAAGGUAACCCAAAAAUCCACAUUCUUACAAGUCUUAUAACUUUUUAUUUCUGUCCUCACUGGCCUCCAAGUUUUCUAGGAUGAUGCAAUGUCCAGCCAUCAACACAUUUGUGACGGAAUUUUUACUCCCCAAAAGAGCGCCCCCCAUGGCAGGAGAAAAAAGGCCAUUUUUUCUUGUCCCAUAAGGUGAAAAUACACAUUGUUGAGUGUCACGCCUGUACGCUUUGUCAUAUUGAAACAAAAUUUGACGAUCACGUGUAUCUCAAUAAGAUCUACGAAAAAGUCAAUGCGCACGUGUCUGCAAAAUGUACGGUUAAAGGGCUAUUUCGCAUUUUUGGUUGAUUCGCACACAUUGGAAUGUGGCAAACUCCUCCUAAAGCUUUCGUUCCACCGGCACCAAAUUUGCUCAGGCCAAUCUACACCCCAUGGCCAUUAAAAGUUGUACAAAUCAUGAUGCUGCACCCCACGGUUUACGUUCUAGGGGUCGCCAAAGAUAACCCAAAAAUCCACAUUCUUAAAAGUCUUAUAACUUUUCAUUUUUGUCCUCACUGGCUUCCAAGUUUUCUAGGAUGAUGCAAUGUCCAGCCAUCAACACAUUUGUGAAGGAAUUUUUACUCCCCAAAAGAGCGCCCCCCCAUGGCAGGAGAAAAAGUUAAGUUUUUCCUGCCAGUCGCCCAAUGGCUCAAACGCAUCGCUCUCUCGGCAAAACCGAAAGGAGGAGCAACUUGCCAUUUGAAUAUAUCAAAGCUGUGUUUGUGCCCUCACUCAUGGUCCAGACUUUUUUCAAAAAGGACAUGGAGUUUGUCUGCAGCAAGCGUUUUGGUAGAAACUGUGCCUCCCAUUCAUUAUAAUGGUAAAUGACCACAGACAAGUGCGCACACCAUCUUUGGACCUUGAGUGUGACGCGAUCGGAAGGGGGAGGCGGUCGCGCUGGGGGCGGCGCGACACGGCUCGGGCCCGCCAGUGCCCCACCGGGGCCCUAGUUUCUUCUUUUUCCUCCCCUUUGAACUGUAAAAUGGCCCACUUCCCACUGGCGAAAACUCAUGAAAUUUGGCAGGAUGACCGGGCCUGGUGAAAAAUUUGAUAUUCCGAAGUCGCCCAAACAAGAAAAUGCAAAAUGGCUCCAUAGCGCCCCCUAAGGUGAAAAUUCACACUAUUGACUGUCACGCCUUUACGCUUUGUCAUAUUGACACAAAAAUUGACACACACAUGUAUCUCAAUAAGAUCUAAAAAAAUGUCAGUGCGGGCGUAUCUGUCAAAUGUACGGUUAAAGGGUUAUUCCGCAUUUUUUGCCGAUCCGCACACAUUGGAAUUUCGCUAACUCCUCCGAAGGCUUUCGUUCCACCGGCACCACAUUUGCUCAGGCCAAUCUACACCCCAUGGCCAUUAAAAGUUAUUCAAAUCAUGACGCUGCACCCCACGGUUUAGGUUCUAGGGGGCGCCAAAGAUAACCCUAAAAUCCACAUAUUUCAAAGUCUUAUAACUUUUUAUUUUUGCCCUCACUGGCCUCCAAGUUUUCUAGGAUGAUGCAAUGUCCAGCCAUCAACACAUUUGUGAAGGAAUUUUUAAUCCCCAAAAGAGCGCCCCCCCCCAUGGCAGGAGAAAAAAGUCCAUUUUUUCUUGUCCCAUAAGAUGAAAAAACACAUUGUUGACUGUCAUACCUGUACGCUUUGUCAUAUUGACACAAAAUUUGACAAUCACAUGUAUCUCAAUAAGAUCUACGAAAAAGUCAAUGCGCACGUAUCUGUAAAAUGUACGGUUAAAGGGCUAUUUUGCAUUUUUUGCCGAUUCGCACACAUUGGAAUGUGGCUAACUCCUCCUAAGGCUUUCGUCCCACUGACACCAAAUUUGCUCAGGCCAAUCUACACCCCAUGGCCAUUCAAAGUUGUAAAAAUCAUGACGCUGCACCCCACGGUUUACGUUCUAGGGGGCGCCAAAGAUGACCCAAAUAUCCACAUUCUUAAAAGAAUCCACAUCCCCCCCCCAUCCCCCAACCCCCAUGGCAGGAGAAACAGUCAAGUUUUUCCUGCCCAUCACUCAAUGGCUCAAUCGCAUCACUCUCCCGGCAACACCGUAACGAGGAGCAACUUGCCGUUUGGAUAUAUCCUAGCUGUGUUUGUGCCCUCACUCAUGGUCCAGACUUUUUUCAAAUAGGACAUGUAGUUUGUCUGCAGCGAG